AUCCCCCAGUGAGCCCUAAAAUCAGCCCCAAAGUCGGCCCAAAUCAUCCCCAAAAUUGGCCCCAAAAUCGAUCCCGAAUUGGCUCCAAAUCAGCUCAAAACCCUCCCCAAAUCGGCCCCUGCUUCCACCCCAGCUCCCUCCGCUCUCUCCCCAGUUCCCACAUUUCCACCCCCUCAAAUCCCCCCUCUUUAAUCCCAAUUUCCCCCAAAUUUUCCCCUUUUUCCCCCAAAUUUCCCCCCCAGCUCAGAAGAACCUGACGACAAACGGCUCCGACCCGACGACCCCUCGGGGCUCCUGGGACCCCUCAACUUCUCAGGGGGGGACCCCAACCCCUCCUACAACUACUGGUACCAGCACGGCUACGGCACCUACGGCUACCAGAGCCCCUGGGGCUACAGCCACUACUACGGGCAGAGCUGAGGGGGCCCUGCCCCCACCCCCACCCCUGUACAGACUGUGGGACCCUCCCCCAAAAUUUGGGGCGGGGGGCGUUGUAAAUAAAGAGGCUGUGAGGAGUUUACUGGGGUUCGUUCCGUUUUUGGGGGGGGGUUUCAUUUUAUUUCUGGGGGAUUUUGGGGAUCUUCUCUCUGUGGAUUUCAGGGUUCCUUCCAAGGAUUUUUGGGGUGGCUCAGGUGGAUUUUGGGACCCCAGCAUGGAUUCUGAGGUACCCCCAACAGAUUUUGGGGUUUGGGGCUGUCCAUGGCAGAUUCCAGGCAGAUUUUGGGAUGCUCCAGGUGAAUUUGGAGGUGCCCAGGUGGAUCUGGAGGUGCCCCAAACAGAUUUUGGGGUGCCCAGGUGGAUCUGGAGGUGCCCCAAACAGAUUUUGGGGUGCCCAGGUGGAUCUGGAGGUGCCCAGGUGGAUCUGGAGGUGCCCCCAGGAGCUGUUGCCGUACCCAGGAUCCAUUCCAGGCUGCUCCAGGCGUUUCCACAGCAGAUCCUUUGCAGACUUUGGGGUCCCCCGGCAGAUCUG
rnacentral:lncRNA from 1 species